rnacentral:rRNA from 1 species
GACGAACGCUGGCGGCGUGCUUAACACAUGCAAGUCGAACGGAAAGGCCCUGCUUUUGUGGGGUGCUCGAGUGGCGAACGGGUGAGUAACACGUGAGUAACCUGCCCUUGACUUUGGGAUAACUUCAGGAAACUGGGGCUAAUACCGGAUAGGAGCUCCUGCUGCAUGGUGGGGGUUGGAAAGUUUCGGCGGUUGGGGAUGGACUCGCGGCUUAUCAGCUUGUUGGUGGGGUAGUGGCUUACCAAGGGUUUGACGGGUAGCCGGCCUGGGAGGGUGACCGGCCUCAUUGGUACUGAGAUAGGGACCAGACGCCUACGGGAGGCAGCAGGGGGGAAUAUUGCACAGUGGGCGGAAGCCUGAGGCAGCAACGCCGCGUGCGGGAUGACGGCCUUCGGGUUGUAAACCGCUUUCGCCUGUGACGAAGCGUGAGUGACGGUAAUGGGUAAAGAAGCACCGGCUAACUACGUG